rnacentral:rRNA from 1 species
UACGUAGGGUGCAAGCGUUGUCCGGAAUUAUUGGGCGUAAAGAGCUCGUAGGCGGUUUGUCGCGUCUGCUGUGAAAACCCGAGGCUCAACCUCGGGCCUGCAGUGGGUACGGGCAGACUAGAGUGCGGUAGGGGAGAUUGGAAUUCCUGGUGUAGCGGUGGAAUGCGCAGGUAUCAGGAGGAACACCAAUGGCGAAGGCAGAUCUCUGGGCCGUAACUGACGCUGAGGAGCGAAAGCAUGGGGAGCGAACGGG